GAUGAACGCUGGCGGCGUGCCUAAUACAUGCAAGUCGAGCGAACAGAUGAGGAGCUUGCUCCUCUGACGUUAGCGGCGGACGGGUGAGUAACACGUGGAUAACCUACCUAUAAGACUGGGAUAACUUCGGGAAACCGGAGCUAAUACCGGAUAAUAUAUUGAACCGCAUGGUUCAAUAGUGAAAGGCGGUUUUGCUGUCACUUAUAGAUGGAUCCGCGCCGCAUUAGCUAGUUGGUAAGGUAACGGCUUACCAAGGCGACGAUGCGUAGCCGACCUGAGGGGAUGAUCGGACCAACUAGAACUUAGCCACGGUCCAGACUCCUACGGGAGGCAGCAGUAGGGAAUCUUCCGCAAUGGGCGAAAGCCUGACGGAGCAACGCCGCGUGAGUGAUGAAGGUCUUCGGAUCGUAAAACUCUGUUAUUAGGGAAGAACAAAUGUGUAAGUAACUAUGCACGUCUUGACGGUACCUAAUCAGAAAGCCACGGCUAACUACGUG
rnacentral:rRNA from 1 species